GGGACGUGGGAUUGGGGCGCGGACUUACCUCCGGCAGCUCCCGGUCAGUGGUGCAGCCAGGGUGCACAGGCAGGCUUUCUGCCUGUCCUCACACCGUGCUGCAUCCUGGAAGCAGCCAGCAACAGGUCUGGCUCCUAGGCAGAGGCGUGACUCUCUCCUGCAGGCACCGUUUCCUCCCCCCCAGCUCCCAUUGGCCGGUUUCCAGCCAAUGGGAGUGCGGAGCCAGUGCUCGGGGCGGGGGCAGCACACGGAGCCCCGUGGCCCCCCUGCCUAGAAGCCAGACCCACUGCUGGCUGCUUCCGGGGCACAGCGUGGUGUCAGAAAAGGUAGGCUGCCUUAGCUGGGCAGCCCCACUGAUGGGACUUCUAAUGCGGUGCUGACCAGAGCAAGGCAACCCAGUACUCGGUCGUAACCCACGAUUUGAAAAACACUGGGUUAGAGUUUGAAGGCCUCUGAGAUUUUCAGGAAGUGUGUAAAACAGUGGCAACUUGGGAUGUAAGUGUGAGGCAUGGCGGGCAGCAGGGAAGAAGUCAUGAAGCUGAGAAUAUUUGGG